rnacentral:rRNA from 1 species
GAUGAACGCUGGCGGCGUGCCUAAUACAUGCAAGUCGAGCGAACGGAUGAGAAGCUUGCUUCUCUGAUGUUAGCGGCGGACGGGUGAGUAACACGUGGAUAACCUACCUAUAAGACUGGGAUAACUUCGGGAAACCGGAGCUAAUACCGGAUGAUAUUUUGAACCGCAUGGUUCAAAAGUGAAAGACGGUCUUGCUGUCACUUAUAGAUGGAUCCGCGCUGCAUUAGCUAGUUGGUAAGGUAACGGCUUACCAAGGCAACGAUGCAUAGCCGACCUGAGAGGGUGAUCGGCCACACUGGAACUGAGACACGGUCCAGACUCCUACGGGAGGCAGCAGUAGGGAAUCUUCCGCAAUGGGCGAAAGCCUGACGGAGCAACGCCGCGUGAGUGAUGAAGGUCUUCGGAUCGUAAAACUCUGUUAUUAGGGAAGAACAUAUGUGUAAGUAACUGUGCACAUCCUGACGGUACCUAAUCAGAAAGCCACGGCUAACUACGUG